rnacentral:rRNA from 1 species
AGAGUUUGAUCAUGGCUCAGGACGAACGCUGGCGGCGUGCCUAAUACAUGCAAGUAGUACGCUGAAGGGAGGAGCUUGCUCUUCUUGGAUGAGUUGCGAACGGGUGAGUAACGCGUAGGUAACCUGCCUUGUAGCGGGGGAUAACUAUUGGAAACGAUAGCUAAUACCGCAUAACAAUGGAUGACACAUGUCAUUUAUUUGAAAGGGGCAAUUGUUCCACUACAAGAUGGACCUGCGUUGUAUUAGCUAGUAGGUGAGGUAAUGGCUCACCUAGGCGACGAUACAUAGCCGACCUGAGAGGGUGAUCGGCCACACUGGGACUGAGACACGGCCCAGACUCCUACGGGAGGCAGCAGUAGGGAAUCUUCGGCAAUGGGGGCAACCCUGACCGAGCAACGCCGCGUGAGUGAAGAAGGUUUUCGGAUCGUAAAGCUCUGUUGUAAGUCAAGAACGGGUGUGAGAGUGGAAAGUUCACACUGUGACGGUAGCUUACCAGAAAGGGACGGCUAACUACGUGCCAGCAGCCGCGGUAAUACGUAGGUCCCGAGCGUUGUCCGGAUUUAUUGGGCGUAAAGCGAGCGCAGGCGGUUUGAUAAGUCUGAAGUUAAAGGCUGUGGCUCAACCAUAGUUCGCUUUGGAAACUGUCAAACUUGAGUGCAGAAGGGGAGAGUGGAAUUCCAUGUGUAGCGGUGAAAUGCGUAGAUAUAUGGAGGAACACCGGUGGCGAAAGCGGCUCUCUGGUCUGUAACUGACGCUGAGGCUCGAAAGCGUGGGGAGCGAACAGGAUUAGAUACCCUGGUAGUCCACGCCGUAAACGAUGAGUGCUAGGUGUUGGAUCCUUUCCGGGAUUCAGUGCCGCAGCUAACGCAUUAAGCACUCCGCCUGGGGAGUACGACCGCAAGGUUGAAACUCAAAGGAAUUGACGGGGGCCCGCACAAGCGGUGGAGCAUGUGGUUUAAUUCGAAGCAACGCGAAGAACCUUACCAGGUCUUGACAUCCCGAUGCUAUUUCUAGAGAUAGAAAGUUACUUCGGUACAUCGGUGACAGGUGGUGCAUGGUUGUCGUCAGCUCGUGUCGUGAGAUGUUGGGUUAAGUCCCGCAACGAGCGCAACCCCUAUUGUUAGUUGCCAUCAUUCAGUUGGGCACUCUAGCGAGACUGCCGGUAAUAAACCGGAGGAAGGUGGGGAUGACGUCAAAUCAUCAUGCCCCUUAUGACCUGGGCUACACACGUGCUACAAUGGUUGGUACAACGAGUUGCGAGUCGGUGACGGCGAGCUAAUCUCUUAAAGCCAAUCUCAGUUCGGAUUGUAGGCUGCAACUCGCCUACAUGAAGUCGGAAUCGCUAGUAAUCGCGGAUCAGCACGCCGCGGUGAAUACGUUCCCGGGCCUUGUACACACCGCCCGUCACACCACGAGAGUUUGUAACACCCGAAGUCGGUGAGGUAACCUUUUGGAGCCAGCCGCCUAAGGUGGGACAGAUGAUUGGGGUGAAGUCGUAACAAGGUA